UCUCUCCAUUAUGUGGGAUACGCCGUGGCAACCGAUUCGCGAAUCGGCGGCGCUGUUGCGCUACUGGCAGGCGGAUCUGGCGCGCGAAGCGCUGUUCUGGCAUAUCCAGCAAGAGCUUACUAAAAAUAACGCGAAAGAUAUUGGUCUGGGGUUUGACUGCCGGGUUAUGUUUCUGCGCGCGCAGUGCGCCAUCAACAUUGAAUCACCUAAUGAUAAGCUCAAUACCAAUUUGAGCCUGGUGGCGAAUGAACUGGCGAAAGUACGCGACAAGGGUUUGUCGGAAGAGGAGUUUACUGCGCUGGUGGCGCAGAAAAAUCUCGAAUUGCAAAAGCUGUUCGCGACCUACGCGCGUACCGAUACUGACAUUUUGACUGGACAGCGUAUGCGCUCGCUGCAGAAUCAGGUGGUGGAUAU
rnacentral:misc_RNA from 1 species